rnacentral:rRNA from 1 species
UAGCAUAUCAAUAAGCGGAGGAAAAGAAACCAACAGGGAUUGCCCCAGUAACGGCGAGUGAAGCGGCAAGAGCUCAAAUUUGAAAGCUGGCUCCUUCGGGGUCCGCAUUGUAAUUUGCAGAGGAUGCUUCGGGAGCGGCCCCCAUCUAAGUGCCCUGGAACGGGCUGUCAUAGAGGGUGAGAAUCCCGUAUGGGAUGGGGUGUCCGCGCCCGUGUGAAGCUCCUUCGACGAGUCGAGUUGUUUGGGAAUGCAGCUCUAAAUGGGUGGUAAAUUUCAUCUAAAGCUAAAUAUUGGCCGGAGACCGAUAGCGCACAAGUAGAGUGAUCGAAAGAUGAAAAGCACUUUGAAAAGAGAGUUAAAAAGCACGUGAAAUUGUUGAAAGGGAAGCGUUUGCGACCAGACUCGCCUACGGGGUUCAGCCUACCUUCGGGUAGGUGUACUUCCCCGUGGGCGGGCCAGCGUCGGUUUGGGCGGCCGGUCAAAGGCCCUCGGAAUGUAACGCCUCUCGGGGCGUCUUAUAGCCGAGGGUGCCAUGCGGCCUGCCCGGACCGAGGAACGCGCUUCGGCUCGGACGCUGGCAUAAUGGUCGUAAACGACCCGUCUUGAAACACGGACCAAGGAGUCUAACAUCUAUGCGAGUGUUCGGGUGUCAAACCCGUGCGCGCAGUGAAAGCGAACGGAGGUGGGAACCCUUUGGGUGCACCAUCGACCGAUCCUGAUGUCUUCGGAUGGAUUUGAGUAAGAGCAUAGCUGUUGGGACCCGAAAGAUGGUGAACUAUGCCUGAAUAGGGCGAAGCCAGAGGAAACUCUGGUGGAGGCUCGCAGCGGUUCUGACGUGCAAAUCGAUCGUCAAAUUUGGGUAUAGGGGGCGAAAGACUAAUCGAACCAUCUAGUAGCUGGUUCCUGCCGA